rnacentral:miRNA from 1 species
UUUGUUUUGUUUUUUGUUAU